rnacentral:tRNA from 1 species
GAUAGCUCAACGGUAGAGCAUCCGGCUGUUAACCGGAGGGUUGCUGGUUCGAAUCCAGCUC